GAUGAACGCUGGCGGCGUGCCUAAUACAUGCAAGUCGAGCGAACAGACGAGGCGCUUGCUCCUCUGACGUUAGCGGCGGACGGGUGAGUAACACGUGUAUCACCUACCUAUAAGACUGGGAUAACUUCGGGAAACCGGAGCUAAUCCCGUAUAAUCUAUUGAACCGCAUUGUUCAAUAGUGAAAUACGGUUUUGCUGUCACUUAUCGCUGGAUCCCGGCCGCAUUGGCUAGUUGUUACGGUAACGGGUUACCACGGCAACCAUGCGUAGCCGACCUGUCAGAGGGAUAGGCGACACGAGAGCGGGGACGGGGUCCAGAGUCCUACGGGAGGCAGCAGAAGGCAACCUGCCGCAAUGGGCGAAAGCCUGACGGAGCAGCGCGGCGUGAGAGAUGAAGGUCUUCGGAUCGUAAAACUCUGUUAUGAGGGAAGAACAAAUGUGUAAGUAACUAUGCACGUCUUGACGGUACCUAGUCAGAAAGCCACGGCUAACUACGUG
rnacentral:rRNA from 1 species